rnacentral:tmRNA from 1 species
GGGGGUGACACGGUUUCGACAGAGUGUCUGAGACCGGAUGUGCAUGCCGGAGGGAUGCGAGGCUCCGUAUAAACGCGUAAAAAAGUAAUCGACAAUAGCGAUUACGCUCUUGCCGCCUGACCCUACGGGGAUUUAGGCGACCGCUGACAUGAUUGUCUCCUGCGCAGUCAUGAAGGCGCAAUUGAUGCAGGAUCGGCGCCAGGUCCGCCCACAGGCCGGAUCUGGUUGCGACACAAUGUCUGUGUGGGUGCGGGUCUCCCGCCUGUAGGAUUGCCCGCACCGGCGCUAAAUGCAGGAUAAGCAUGUAGUACAUACGUGUGGAUGCGCCCUGGACCCGGGUUCAAUUCCCGGCACCUCCACCA